ACCAGUAUAACUUGGGGACAAACAUAUCCAAAAUUCACUUGAAUAGGUUCAGGGGUUUAAUGGUUAGGUCGAAGUCCUUUGUUUUCACUUGCAAGCAUGGCUUUCUGGCCCAAACCAGUUUCACAAGAGUCUGGCAGUGUCCCUGGGACAACACCCUGCUGGAGAACAAUGGAUCCGGGGGAGGGGAAAAGGAAGUGUCCAAAAAGUUUCAGUAUUUCCCUUCACUGUUGUUAAAAGGCCAGCACAGUACAAUAAAGUACAAUAUGUCCAAAUGCAGUUCUUUAAAGGGUCCCAUCUUCCCGGGACCAUAAUCACUGGGCAGGAGGCGAGCAGGCAGUCCCCUCCAGGAAACUGGGGCAGACUCUGGUGUAGGGUUCAGUCCGCUACAUUUCUCCCCUUUACCAAAGAGACUAUCCAGACUCCAGACCUUCAAUCGGUCUGGGGCUCUGAUAGUCGGUCGGCCUUUCUCACCCUUUGUAGCUGUCCCAGUGUUCUCCUGCCACAUGUGCCCAGUUGGAAAUCUAUAGUCUGGUGGAAAAGUAACCAGGGUGCUCUCUCUCCUGGUUGGACAAAGCGGUUGCUGGGGAGAAGGGGUAACUGGCUCCUCUCCCUGCGAUGUCCUUUCUUGUAGUAGGGGAAAACACACUGCCUCCUCUUCCAAUACAUUGCCCUGUUGUUGGAGACCAGGACAGACUGUCCAUAUCUCCAGUGGUGCAGGUGCAGAGACUACGGUCCCAUCUGCACUGUUGUGGGGUUUACUGUCUCCCCUUGGUGGGCCAGGCUGCCGCUGGGGAGAGGGGGUAACAAACUCCUCUCCCUUACAUGCUUCCAGCUGCUGGGGAGCCGGGCUGACCAUCCG